UACGUAGGCAGCGAGCGUUGUUCGGAGUUACUGGGCGUAAAGGGUGUGUAGGCGGUUUUCUAAGUUUGGUGUGAAAUCUCCCGGCUCAACCGGGAGGGUGCGCCGAAAACUGGGAGACUAGAGUGCGGGAUGGGAGAGUAGAAUUCCUGGUGUAGCGGUGAAAUGCGUAGAGAUCGGCAGGAACACCCAGGGGGAAACCAGUCGACUGGGCAUCUACUGACGCUGAGGUGCGAGAGCGUGGGGAGCGAACCGG
rnacentral:rRNA from 1 species